rnacentral:tRNA from 1 species
GGUGUCAUGGCCGAGUGGUCGAUGGCGACGGUCUUGAAAACCGUAGGUGGGGGAGACCUGCCCUAGAGUUCGAAUCUCUAUGACACCG